rnacentral:rRNA from 1 species
AAUGAACGUUGGCGGCGUGGAUUAGGCAUGCAAGUCGAGCGCUCAUAGCAAUAUGGGAGCGGCGAACGGCGUAGGAAUUCAUAGGAACGUACCCUCAGGUCGGGGAUAGCUACGGGAAACUGUAGGUAAUACCCGAUGAUCUCUGCGGAGCAAAGGUGUGAUUCCGCCUGAGGAGCGGCUUAUGUGAUAUUAGCUAGUUGGUGGGUAAUGGCUUACCAAGGCGAAGAUGUCUAGGGGGUGUGAGAGCAUGGCCCCCACGACCGGAACUGAGAUACUGUCCGGACACCUACGGGUGGCUGCAGUCGAGAAUCUUCCGCAAUGGACGAAAGUCUGACGGAGCGACGCCGCGUGCGGGAUGAAGGCCCUUGGGUUGUAAACCGCUUUCGGAGGGGAUGAAAUCCUCGAGGGUACUCCCUCGAGGUUGACAGAGCCUCAAAAGAAGCACGGGCUAAGUACGUGCCAGCAGCCGCGGUAAU